GACGUAGGGGCGCGAGCGUUGUCCGGAUUUGAUUAGGGGCGUAAAGAGCGUGUAGGCGGCCAGGUAGGAUCUAGCCGUGUGAAAACGUCGAGGCUUUAACCUCGAGUCUGUCGGCGGAAACCAUCGUGGCUAGAGUCCGGAAGAGGAGAAUGGAAGUUCCCGGUAGUACGGUGAAAUGCGCAGAGUAAGAUCGGGAACGAACACCCGUGGGCGAAGGCGGUCUGCUGGGACGGUACUGACGCUGGAGACGGCGAAAGCGUGGGGAGCGAACAGG
rnacentral:rRNA from 1 species